CACAAGGACUCAUGUAAACUUAAAGUAAGCGUAAGGUUAGCCAAGAGAAGGAACAAGGAGACCCCAAAGUCAGGCAAGCAAGUUUUUAUUAACCUGCUGGGCUGCUCCACUGUGGAGGAGGUAGCCCCGCUUACAGGCUGCUGUGGGGUUUUAUAGGGCAAGGUGCUAGGUUGGGGUGGGGGAAACUGAGUAGAGUUGCAGAAGUGGCUGUAGAAAAAGUGGGGAGGUGUUUGUAGGUGGUCACAAAGGACCGUAUUGCAAAGGUCAUGGAGGAGGAGGAGGGGUAGCUUGGCUCUCUAACAUUCCAGCCUUUAAUAGCAGUGAGCAAACCAAGGCCUCUGCGAUUUUGAAGGACAACUGCUGCUAAGGAGUCUAUCUGUGAUUGGAGGGUUGAAACAGUAUUAGGUAAGUCUUCCAAACUGUUUGUAAGAUCUUGUGAGAGGGAGCAAUAGUACAUGAGGGAAGUAGAAAGCCCGACCACUCCGGUUCCAACUGCAGUAGUCAUUCCUAGUCGUACUAGGAUGGGUAUUAACUGAACGGCCCUGCAUUGGCACACUUGAGUUUUUACAGGGAUAGGUAGGUUUUGUUUCCUGGGACAAUGUCGAUUUUUGGGCUUAGAAAAACCAGAGUACAGGUACCAGUCCAGUUGAUAGGGUAGCAGAGGUAGGUGGAGGUACCGCACAGGAAGAAUAUGCCUUGGCUAGGUAAGUAAAAUUGGUUGUGUAUGUUAAAAAGAUGUGUAAGCUUGUGGUCUUUGUAUAUCCAUGCUCCUAGGGUGCUUGCUAAGGCAGCUGUGUUGAGUGGCUGUAAGGGGGUAUUGGGAGACAGUUGGGUUGAACCUGAAUUUAUGUUUUCCAAGUGGAGGAGAAACCAUUUUUUGUCUAUCAGAAGGCUGUGGUUAUUGUUUAAUAGAGGAAUUAGGAGACAUUUGUUUGUGGUGGGGGGCGGUGAACCUCACAGGGAGAUGGAGUCCAGGGUUGAAGGGAUAGGCAGGGUAGGUGUCUUCCAUUGCAGUAACCUGAAUUUAUGUUUUAUAGUAGAGUGAUAUUAAUUUUUUUGGAGGGGGCAGGAAAGUACAUGGUGACCCUAAAGAUGGGAAGGCUAAUAUGGUCAAUUGGGCCUUGGAGUUGCACAGUGAAAUUCCAGUGAUUUGAAGGCAGGUGCCCUAAGAGGUGACCUGAGGGGUGAUGGCGCUGGAUGCAUAGAGGGGCUUGAGAAGUUAAGAAAAUGUUAGUGAUUAUGGUUCUGAGGAUUGGCUUGGUAUGGUUGGUAUAAGGGGCUAGAUAAUUGAAAUAGGGGCACAUUAGCAGAACUGCCUGCCCUAUUGUGGUGAGAGGUUUGUUUCAGAAUAGGAAUUGGAGAGAUGUAUUAAGGACUGUAAAUCUGGGUAUUGGUAGAGACUGCCCAGUUCAUAAUGGGGGUGGAAAGUUACUUGAGUAAAAACCCAGCCAUGGGUUGAAGCAGGAAUUGCGGUGUAAGCUGUAGUUGAUAGAUAGAAGCAGAACCAGCAGUCACUGGCUAGGGUAGGAAUGGCCUGUUUAAGAGUGUAAGAUUUAGGGUUUUGUGAGGUUAGUUAGGCAUUGGUGGGGGAACGAGAGCUAGAGUGUGGAGGAGUAGAAGGGGUAGACAGGCAAAGGGAAGUAGGAAAGUAAAGAAGUGCAUUUCAUCUGGAGAAAAAUCGCACAAGGCACCUUGGAAGAGAAGAUCAUCUAUCCACUGUAAAAGAGAGUUGAAAGUGGGAGCUUGGGGAUAAAACCAAAAACUAUCUUGGCAAACAGAGGUGAGGAAGAGGGUGAAGUGGCAAUGUAGGCAUGGACAGGGCAUUUAAGAGUGGUGAUUAUUAUAAACUGUGACUCCAGUUAUGAGGAUAAUGGAUAGGCAAGAGGUUAGAGUGACUGGGAUUUUUGCCUAUUAAGGUGCUACAGUAUAUAAUCCAACUGCAAAGAGUAUGGUUAGAAUGCUGCUUAUUGCGAUGGUGGCAUAGUGAAAGACUUCCAUUAUGGAUGGUCGGGUAGAGGUAGAGGAGAUGUUGAAGAUUAAGUUGGGUGUUACUUAUCUUUUAUAGCUUCAGGUGGAAAGUGGUUCUUCUGAAAUAUGAGUAAGGCGAAGCUGGGUUCAUCCGAUGGGGGUGCUGAGAUAUUUGUGGACGACAAUUGGUGGAUUGGCUGUGGGUGGGUCAGGUGCAGGAGCC
rnacentral:lncRNA from 10 species